UUUUCUGGUCAUCAUUUUUUAGAAGUAAAAGUCGUAACAAGGUUCGCCGGUGCGGGGGACAGCGCACUCCUUCGACCGGGGAGGAUGCCGGCACCCUCGCACCUACGGAAGCCUUGCAUUUCAGUCUAUCCCGCGUAGGCAACACCGACACGAUGCUGGGAUUUCGCUGCCACCGGUGAAUACCAGCAGCCGCCGACGCGGCUCACAGAUCAAACGUCGGUGGCUCGGGUGGGGUCGUGAUUCUUCGAAGCCAUGUGUGCUCCUCGAGACGUCCGCCCCAGCUGCUCCCCGAGUUCAGAUAUGACCGGCCCCGUCGCAAAAGUGACAGGCACUGCCGCGUUCCGUAGGUGAACCUGCGGAAGGAUCAUUA
rnacentral:rRNA from 1 species